UGCCAGCCGCCGCGGUAAUACGGAGGGUGCAAGCGUUAAUCGGAAUUACUGGGCGUAAAGCGCGCGUAGGCGGUUUGUUAAGUCAGCUGUGAAAGCCCCGGGCUCAACCUGGGAACUGCAGUUGAUACUGGCCGACUUGAGUACGAGAGAGGGAGGUAGAAUUCCAUGUGUAGCGGUGAAAUGCGUAGAUAUUAUGAAGAAUACCAGUGGCGAAGGCGGCCUCCUGGAUCUGUACUGACACUGAGGUGCGAAAGCGUGGGUAGCGAACAGGAUUAGAUA
rnacentral:rRNA from 1 species